ensembl:lncRNA
CCUCUCUCAAGCAAAGCUCAUCAAUGGUUAACUAUUAAGCUUGACUAGUAUGUUUGCAUUUGACCUAAAGAUGACUUAAGAAACUAUUUAUCUGCAUGAGCCCCAGCCUUUGCCAUCCAGCAGACGUUAGGCACAGCAUAUGCAUAUCCUGCACAGUAUUCCCGUUGGUGUGGAUGCAGUACUGAUACACGGGUCUGUGUUUGCAGGCAUUUUAGGAUUCUCUUCCAGAACUCUCAAGAGAUAUCUACCAUUUUCUUAGAUCACAAUUGCAAAGCCUGGGGAGUUAAUCAUUCCUUUAUGAUGUUUCCAACACAUCAAUUAUGAAUGAACUCUCUAUAUUCUGUGGCUUUCUACUUUUAUACCCAUGUGUGCUUGUGGUGGAGAGGAUGAAGGGGAGAGGCACGGAACUCAGAGAAAGAAUUAUCAUUAGAAACACUUCAGUUGGAAACCCUCAUCUCCCCAAUACAUUGCCUUGCAACUGAUGAGGCCUGAACUUCAGAAAGAUAAAACUUUGAUAAGAAGCAGAGUGAAGGCUAACAUAUAGAAUAUGCUAAUGCCGACUAAGAAAGCUAAGCUGGGGAUUGGUAGUUGCCUGUGGAGGAAAGCUACUUCCAACUGCAGACAAAUGAGGCACGUCCAGAAUCGCCACUCACUGAGCAGUGUCAUAAGGUGUGACUGGGACUCUGCAGACACUGCUUUGGAGAAAACAGCACUGUAACUUCAUUGAAAUGGCUGAGAUUUCAACCUUCAUCAGUCUGGAAUCUGAAAAGCUUUAAGAUUUAAGGUGUGUGAAAUAAUAGUUUUAUCCUUCAGAACAAAUUAUUUGUCUCCUGUUCCCAUAAUUAUUCAUCACUUGCAUAGAGUUAUGUUUCAUUAAAAGAAAAAAAAAAGUCCUUGAAACAAUACAGAAAACCUAAGAAUUUUUAUUCUGUUUUUGAUUAUGUUUGCAUAUACAAAACAAAACAAAACAAAACCAGUAAAUUUACACCUACCUAAAUUCUAGAUACGUGCAAGUAAUCUUAUAAAUCACUUUAAACAGAUACCAAUGCCCCUCACAGGAAAAAACAAAAGCAUGACAUGAUGGUGAGAUCUUAACAUGUAAAGACUUCAAAGAGAUACUGAGGAGUAUACUGUUGGUUUAUAAAUUAUUUAAUAUUAUUAUAUAUGCUAUAAAUAAAUUCUCUGUACCAUUUUUCCAACAUAAUUGAUUUUCUGUCUAUAUAAAUAGUCUCAAACUCCAUACAGACCAGUCUGCGCUUAAUCCUGGAAAUUCUGAAUGCAUUACAAUAUCUUCAUGCCAAUAAUGGGGAAAUGGAAAUUUUC